rnacentral:rRNA from 1 species
UACGAAGGGGGCUAGCGUUGUUCGGAUUAACUGGGCGUAAGGGGUGCGUAGGCGGGGUUUUAAGUCAGGGGUGAAAUCCCGAGGCUCAACCUCGGAACUGCCUUUGAUACUGGAAAUCUUGAGUCUGGGAGAGGUGAGUGGAACUGCGAGUGUAGAGGUGAAAUUCGUAGAUAUUCGCAAGAACACCGGUGGCGAAGGCGGCUCACUGGCCCGGAACUGACGCUGAGGCACGAAAGCGUGGGGAGCAAACAGG